CAUGAACCGCCUGCCCAGGCAGCUCCCCACCUCAGACCUCCUCGCAGGAGGUGGAAUCAUCUGCCUAAGCCACAUGGACAAAGUGACUGAGCAUCUCCCUGUGCUCCAACUCCAGGGAGCCAACUGCAUAAGCUUCUUCCUCCUCCUCGGGAACUUGGGCCAGGGGCCCAGCUUCCUGACUACAGUCUGCUGCUCCAACACCACUAGGACUUCACACAGCUCACCUGCCAGGCAGUACCAGGCAAGGAGACAAAGGCGCAGGCAGAGGGAGGACACCUUCUCCGGGGAGCGGAUGAUAGAGCAUGAACUUCCCAGGACCCACAGCCUCUCUCUCUGGCUGUCGAAGACUCCCGAGCACAGCUGUGCCAACCCCCAGCCCCCAUCCAGAGUUGGAGCCACAUCCAAGUGCUUGAAACCUGGAAGGUUCUCCUCUGAGCAGCACCACCUCCCUUUGCAAAAACACUUUCCUGUGCAGAAAAUCAUUCUCUGCAUCGUCCAAAAGAGACCCUGCCCAGCCCACUGCCCUGAGAUGUUCCAAGCAAGCCCACCCGGCUGGGGGCAGUGGGAGGCAUGAUGAGAAGACACCCAGAUCACAGCAGAGGCCCUGGCCUGAUGCCCACCUCCUUGACCCUGGAUCCAGAGUUAGCAGGAGGCCAGCUGGGCUGGGUCAGCUCUGCAAUGCACAGAGCCUGGGCAUCUCCAGCUCUUACAAAUACCCCAAGAGUGGACCUUGGGGGUCCAUGAUGAGACCACAGUUUGCCCAGCACGGUAGGCAGAGACCCUAGGUUCCUGGUACCCAUGAGAGAAUUUUCCAUCUGCCUCAGGGAACCUGGGUCCUAUGCCCUAUCUCCCCUCUCCUGAACCCUGCUCCCAAUCAGAAAUGUAUGUUUGUUUUAAAUGUAUUAAUAUAUGAUACACCACAUGAUCCAAAGUCGAGUGUAAAGGCAAUACAGUGGAAUACACCCUCAGGCCUUUCCCUUAGCUGCCCAGAGACAGUUCAUGAAUAUACGAGCAAAUAUGCACGUGUUCCAUUCAAAGGAACAGGGCACAGUGGGAAGGGCACAGACUCUGAGCCAGUCUGUCUGAGCUCCAGCACUGCCCCUUUCCAGCUGGUGAUGUGGGGCAUCUCUCUGUGCCCUGGUCCCCCGCCCCCCCAUCUGCAGAAUAGGGUAUGAUCAUAGUACCUACUCCACAGGAUGAAGCCGAGAUUAAACUACACAUAUUAGCUCUCACCAUAAUGGCUGUUCUCCUCUUUGCUGUUUUACUCAAAUGAGCGUAGUGUGUCUGUUUCACACACACAUCUAAUUUCUUUCACUUUGAAGUGUAUCUGGGAGCUCACUCAGUCUACUUUAGAGCUGCAUCGUAUUCCAUUGCCUCAAUGCACCACAGUUUAUUUGAGCCAGUCUUUGUUUUAAGUAGACAUUUUGGUAGUUUCUUUUAUAAGCAAGGCUUCAUGGAAUAACUCUACAUACACCACAUAAUUUUUUAUACCUCUAUCAUACCACAUAAUUGUCAUUUCUUUUUUAUAAUAAGAGAGGUUAAGAUCUAAUCUCUUAGCACCUUUGAAGUUUAGAAUAUCAUUGUCUAUAAUCGCUAUGCUGUGCAUUAGCUCUCCAGGACUUAUGUAUCUACUGGCUGCAAGUUUUUACCCUCAAAUAACACCCCCCCAAAGAGAUAUGCUAUAUUUUAUCUAAAAAAUAUUAGGAUAAAUUCCUAGCAGUAGAAAGCUCGUCAACAGGUAUGUGCAUUUGUUAUUUUUUGCCAUCCAGAGAGGUUGUACAGAGUCACCGUUUCAUUGGCAACAUGUAAGAGUUUCUGUUUCCCAUACCUUUACCAAGAGUUUAUAAAUAAAAUUUUUAUUUUUGUCAAUUUGGCAACUGAAAAAUA